ACAUGGCCGAAGGGAAACGAGCCAAGACCUACCAUUUUCACCCUGAAUGGGAGGAAGAUUAUUUUUUUCGUUUACUCUCAUUCAAAGCCUAUUUGUUUGAUAUGUAAUGCGACGGUGGCGUUGGCAAAGAAAGGAAAUCUGGAGCGGCAUUUUAAAACAGUACACGGGAGCUACGAGAGGGAUUUCCCGACAAAAACGCCUUUGCACGCCACAAAAGUGAAGGAUUUGAAAGCACAGCUCGCAGCACGACAGUCAGUGUUCACCAAACCGAAGACCCAGGAUGAUAUAAGGCCGCAACUAUUGCUUCCUGUCGCGUCAGUCACGUCCUAGCUAAACACAAGAAGUCAUUCGGUGACGGCGAUAGUGUGAAGGAAGCCUUUCUCCAGGCAGCAGAUAGCUUGUUUGACGACUUUAAAAAUAAAACUGAGAUCGUGAAGGCCAUUAAAGAAGUGCAACUCUCCCGCAUUACUACUACAAGCUGAUGUGAGGGAAUGGCUGUGGAUGUGGAGGAGCAACUGAAGAAGGAUAUUGACGCUUGCGAAUGUUUUUCCUUCCAAUCUGACGAGUCGACUGAUGUGGUGGAUGUGACUCAAUUGUGUGUUUUCAUCAGGAUGGUUUUUGAAGAUAUGAACCCCAAGGAAGAGCUACUCACAAUUUUGCCAUUAAAAGGACAUACCAGAGGUGAGGAUAUUUUUAAUGCUUUCAUGGGCUUCGUUCGCUGAUCUCCAUCACAACUGAUGGGCCGCACCAUACAAAGCUAGAGGACCACCGGUGGCUUUUAGAUUUAUCUUUCCUCACUGAUCUGACUGGUGAGCUCAAUGAAUUGAAUUUAGAGCUGCAGGGUAAAGAUGUAGUCAACAUGAUGAGUUCAGUGAACACGUUUAAAAGCAAGCUACAGCUGAUGUCCAGCAGGCUGCAGCCUGGUAACCUGCACAACUUCCCUCACAUGCAAGCAGAACUACAACGUCAAGGUAAAGGUGUGACACAGCUUGACACUGCAUGUUAUGUUCAGAGCAUCUCCUCAGAGUUUGAGAGAUGUUUUACUGACUUUGCAUCCAUCGAGCCUGUAGCCAGCUGUAUGUGUUAUCCAUUUGGUGCAAGUAUUGAUGUCGGUUACAUUGCCGCCAAAGUCAAAUCACUUUUUGACCUGGAAAACUCCGCUCUUGAGGAUGAGAUUCUGACACAGAGAUCAAAGCCAGAUCAACAUCCGCUCAACCUGGAGAGCAUGUGGUGUUCUGGAAACUACUGGUGGAGGAGAAGUAUCCCAAUCUCAGAAGAUGUGCCUUGAACCUGACAGCUCUUUUUGGAUCACCUUAUUUGUGCGAGUCUGCUUUCUAACACAUGAAAAUCAUCAAGUCCAAGCACAGAUCAGCAAUGACAGAUGACCACCUUGCAGCCUGCCUACGCCUUGCAACCAGCUCCUACACUCCUGACUACGAGAAGCUAGCCUCCUCCUCCCAGUGCCAGGUCUCCCACUAAGGAGUUUGCAGUCAACCAAGGCCGACUCAGAAUCACUCCCACCGGGAAGAUCUGUGAAGGAAGGUCCACCCGGCUGGUCCAGAAGCUCCGGUCCAGCAGAGCAGCGUCAGGAUGGAGACGUAACCGGUGUUGAUGUCACCGCCUUGACGAAUAGAAGAAAAGCCUGUAUUUGGGUAUGUAGGACCGGUAGUCCAGAGGUAGUGAUGGUGCUUUGGAACCUGGAGAGUGCAGGUUCAAUCCCCCACUCUGCUCAAGCUUUUUUUUUACAUUUGGGCAAAAUUCGCCAAAAAUCUUCUUGAAAGAGAGUUAAGAAGCUUUGCGCUCUUUGCGCUCUUUGCGCUCUUUGCGCUCUUUGCGC